UACGUAGGGGGCAAGCGUUGUCCGGAAUUAUUGGGCGUAAAGAGCGCGUAGGCGGUCCGAUAAGUCGGCUGUGAAAGUCAGGGGCUCAACCCUUGAAAGCCGGCCGAUACUGUCGGACUAGAGUCCGGAAGAGGCAAGUGGAAUUCCUGGUGUAGCGGUGAAAUGCGCAGAUAUCAGGAGGAACACCGGUGGCGAAGGCGGAUCUCUGGGCCAUUACUGACGCUGAGGAGCGAAAGCGUGGGGAGCGAACAGG
rnacentral:rRNA from 1 species